rnacentral:rRNA from 1 species
CCUACGGGAGGCAGCAGUGGGGAAUCUUGCGCAAUGGGCGAAAGCCUGACGCAGCCAUGCCGCGUGAAUGAUGAAGGUCUUAGGAUUGUAAAAUUCUUUCACCGGGGACGAUAAUGACGGUACCCGGAGAAGAAGCCCCGGCUAACUUCGUGCCAGCAGCCGCGGUAAUACGAAGGGGGCUAGCGUUGCUCGGAAUUACUGGGCGUAAAGGGAGCGUAGGCGGAUAGUUUAGUCAGAGGUGAAAGCCCAGGGCUCAACCUUGGAAUUGCCUUUGAUACUGGCUAUCUUGAGUGUGGGAGAGGUAUGUGGAGCUCCGAGUGUAGAGGUGAAAUUCGUAGAUAUUCGGAAGAACACCAGUGGCGAAGGCGACAUACUGGCCCAUUACUGACGCUGAGGCUCGAAAGCGUGGGGAGCAAACAGGAUUAGAUACCCUGGUAGUCCACGCUGUAAACGAUGAGUGCUAGUUGUCGGCAGGCAUGCCUGUCGGUGACGCAGCUAACGCAUUAAGCACUCCGCCUGGGGAGUACGGUCGCAAGAUUAAAACUCAAAGGAAUUGACGG